UAUUUAUUCAGAGUUAGAAUAGAAGAGAAACAUCCUCUCAGUCCUCUCACUUAUCACCCAAAGCCCAUAUAAGACAUAUUCCGCAAGUGCGUUUGUAUAAUCUGAGUCCAACGCCGUUUCUAAAUAUCAUACUCUCGACGAUCGUUACGUAAAUUAAACCAUAACUUUCAACAAUUUAAUAUAUUGAUCUGUCACUAGCUAGUGCACCCCCUUUAAACUUCCAUACCUGUAUUAUAUCUUUACUACCCCUUUUUCAAAAAGAGAUUUAUGUGUGUGACGUGCGUGAGUAUCAAUGAAGAAUAAUCUAUUUUGCAAAAUUUACUUUAGAAACUUGGGAUUUAGCUAGAUUGUCAUUAGAAACCAUGGAUGCAUUUAAAGCCCUACGAUAAAGUAUGGUUGUAAUGGGUUGGAUUUCAAAUGUUCGGUUGUGAAUAUGAGCGUUGGAUACACUUAUAUAGUAUUUGUAGUUUACAGUACCUUUUUUUUUUUUUUUUAUCGCUACCAUGCCCACUUAUAUAGUAAACUAUACGAAGUUUAAAAUUACGAUGAAGUUGAAUAAAUGUUUCUAUCGAGUAGUGAGCAAAAAAUACAGAGACAUAUUGAUCUCGCUAAAUGUAUAUUCGCUUUGAUUAAAACCGUAAAAUAUCUUUUAAAU
rnacentral:lncRNA from 1 species